rnacentral:rRNA from 1 species
UUUGGACGAAAGGCUUGGCGGUGAGGGAUGGGGAUGCGUCCGAUUAGCCAGACGGCGGGGUAACGGCCCACCGUGGCGACGAUCGGUAGGGGUUCUGAGAGGAAGGUCCCCCACACUGGAACUGAGACACGGUCCAGACUCCUACGGGAGGCAGCAGUGAGGAAUAUUGGUCAAUGGGCGUAAGCCUGAACCAGCCAAGUAGCGUGCAGGACGACGGCCCUAUGGGUUGUAAACUGCUUUUAUGCGGGGAUAAAGUGGCCCACGUGUGGGUUUUUGCAGGUACCGCAUGAAUAAGGACCGGCUAAUUCCGUGCCAGCAGCCGCGGUAAUACGGAAGGUCCGGGCGUUAUCCGGAUUUAUUGGGUUUAAAGGGAGCGUAGGCCGCGCCUUAAGCGUGUUGUGAAAUCCGGGUGCUCAACAUCCGGCUUGCAGCGCGAACUGGGGCGCUUGAGUGCGCAGAAAGUAGGCGGAAUUCGUGGUGUAGCGGUGAAAUGCUUAGAUAUCACGAGGAACUCCGAUUGCGAAGGCAGCCUACUGUAGCGCUACUGACGCUGAUGCUCGAAAGCGUGGGUAUCGAACAGGAUUAGAUACCCUGGUAGUCCACGCGGUAAACGAUGGAUGCUCGUUGUCGGCCCCUUGGGUCGGUGACCAAGCGAAAGCGUUAAGCAUCCCACCUGGGGAGUACGCCGGCAACGGUGAAACUCAAAGGAAUUGACGGC